rnacentral:misc_RNA from 1 species
GAUGAAGAACGUAGCGAAAUGCGAUAAGUAAUGUGAAUUGCAGAAUUCAGUGAAUCAUCGAAUCUUUGAACGCACAUUGCGCCCUCUGGUAUUCCGGGGGGCAUGCCUGUUCGAGCGUCAUUAUAACCACUCAAGCUCUCGCUUGGUAUUGGGGUUCGCGGUUUCGCGGCCCCUAAAAUCAGUGGCGGUGCCUGUCGGCUCUACGCGUAGUAAUACUUCUCGCGAUUGAGUUCGAUAGGUCUACUUGCCAGUAACCCCCAUUUUUUACAGGUUGACCUCGGAUCAGGUAGGGAUACCCGCUGAACUUAAGCAUAUCAAUAAGCGGAGGA